UCCCCUAGGNGAACCUGCGGAAGGAUCAUU
rnacentral:rRNA from 1 species